UACGGAGGAUCCGAGCGUUAUCAGGAUUUAUUGGGUUUAAAGGGUGCGCAGGCGGGGGAUUAAGUCGGCGGUGAAAUUUUGCAGCUCAACUGUAAAAGUGCCUUCGAAACUGGUUUCCUUGAGUGUAGAUGAAGUAGGCGGAAUUUGUGGUGUAGCGGUGAAAUGCAUAGAUAUCACGAGGAACUCCGAUUGCGCAGGCAGCUUACUAAACUACUACUGACGCUCAGGCACGAAGGCGUGGGGAUCAAACAGGAUUAGAUACCCCCGUAGUCCCU
rnacentral:rRNA from 1 species